UACGGGGGGGGCAGGCGUUGUCCGGAAUUAUUGGGCGUAAAGAGCUCGUAGGCGGUUUGUCGCGUCUGCUGUGAAAUCCCACGGCUCAACCGUGGAACGGCCUCGGAUACGGGCGGCCUGGAGGCGGGUAGGGGCAGGCGGAACUGUGGGUGGAGCGGUGAAAUGCGUUGAGAUCCACAGGAACUCCGGUGGCGAAGGCGGCCUGCUGGACCCGAACUGACGCUGAGGCGCGAAAGCCAGGGGAGCGAACGGG
rnacentral:rRNA from 1 species